AGGUGGAGAUGAUGAGAAACUAAACACAGAAGAACAGCAGCGCGACCCUUUCCAAUUCCCAAGUGAUGGUCGUUAUAAUAUCAGAGCAUCACUCCAAUCAAAGAACAGCAUUGAUAAGCAUCCAAAUAUCCCUUCCCAGAUGGAGCCAUACUCCACUGCUGCUCCAUGAAGUUAAUGGCCUGACUGGAGAGGAAGGUGGAACUGCCCUGAGGAGUGGCAUCUCUAAGACAUGGGUGAACGCCAUUCCUGCUUAACACAGAGGACUCACUAGAUCCACAGCAGCUUCUCACAUCCAAGCUCUCCUGGUCAAACAGAUGCUAGCGGUCCACAAUCGUGUUGGAAGAAGAAAGCUAUGGAGGCUUUUAUGACGUGCUGUGUACCCAUGUAUGUAGUUAUGUAACUCCAAACCCUGGCCGUGGGAUUCUCCUGUCAGUGAUCAGUUCUCUUGUGACACAGGGCAUUACACUUCUGUUACUGACUCCUCCUUUAUGCAGCACACUCUUAGGUAGUGACCUAGGGAUUUCACAAACUUCUACUAGUGUGCCUCAGUCCCUUGUAGUAUAAAAUGGUAAAGUCUCGUCUCCACUCAGUUCCAGCUGUGAAGAUCUGUCAACAUGCCCCCCCACUUUUAUCUAAUCUACAGG
rnacentral:lncRNA from 1 species